GUGGUAUUUUGACUAUACAAAGGUAUUGUAAUAAGAUUUUAAUUGAAUGCUAAAAGAAUGGAAAUUUAAAAAAAAACUUUUUUAAAAAUAAAAAUUGAAUUUUUUUUAAUUUGUGCAAAAACAAUUAUUAUUAUUAAAGACAAGAAGACCCUAAGAAUUUAUGAUUUUGUAAUUAAAAUUUUUUUUUUUAAAAAAUCUUGAUUGGGGCGAUCAAAAAAUAUUAAUAACUUUUUAAAUUUAAAUUGAUCUAUUAUUAAUAAACUAAUGAAUUAAAUACUCUAGGGAUAACAGCGUAAUAAUUUUUGAUAGAUCUUAUUGACAAAAUAGUUUGCGACCUCGAUGUUGGAUUAGGAUUCUUUUUUAAUGAAAAAGUUAAAAAAAAAAGUUUGUUCAACUUUUAAAUUCCUACAUGAUCUGA
rnacentral:rRNA from 1 species